rnacentral:rRNA from 1 species
UACGAAGGGGGCUAGCGUUGCUCGGAAUUACUGGGCGUAAAGCGCACGUAGGCGGAUUGUUAAGUCGGGGGUGAAAUCCUGGGCUCAACUCCAGAACUGCCUUCGAUACUGGCGAUCUCGAGUUCGGGAGAGGUGAGUGGAACUGCGAGUGUAGAGGUGAAAUUCGUAGAUAUUCGCAAGAACACCAGUGGCGAAGGCGGCUCACUGGCCCGAUACUGACGCUGAGGUGCGAAAGCGUGGGGAGCAAGCAGG